rnacentral:rRNA from 1 species
GAUGAACGCUAGCGGCAGGCCUAUCACAUGCAAGUCGAGGGGUAACUAGAGUGAUAGCAAUAUUACUUUGGCUAGACCGGCGCACGGGUGCGUAACACGUAUGCAACCUACCUUAUACUGGGGAAUAACUUCGAGAAAUCGGCGCUAAUACCCCAUAACAUUGCGAAGAGGCAUCUCUUUGCAAUUAAAGCUCCGGCGGUAUAAGAUGGGCAUGCGUCCAAUUAGCUAGUUGGUGAGGUAACGGCUCACCAAGGCUACGAUUGGUAGGGGUUCUGAGAGGAUGAGCCCCCACACUGUAACGGAGACACGGACCAGACUCCGACGGGAGGCAGCAGUGAGGAAUAUUGCGCAAUGGACGAAAGUCUGACGCAGUCAUGCCGCGUGCAGGAUGACGGCCCUAUGGGUUGUAAACCGCUUUUGUACGGGAAUAAACCCUUCUACGUGUAGGAGGCUGAAGGUACCGUAAGAAUAAGCACCGGCUAACUCCGUGCCAGCCGCCGCCGUAAAAC